GUGCUUGCUUCAGCAGCACCCAUGCUAAAAUUGGAAAUAAUACAGAGAAGUCCAGCAUGGAUCCUAUGCAAGGAUGACACACAUUCAUAAAAUAUUUCAUACAUUUGG
rnacentral:snRNA from 1 species